GGGAGCCCUGGGACAGCAGGUCGCGGACAGUGGGGAGCUGUGAACUUGAGGGGAAGAAGACACAGCCAGGGAAAGACUCUCUGCCGUUCUGGACCAAAAAGACCUGGAGGACCACAGGAGAGAAAAUGAGAGGAACAGAGGAGCGAAUGUCUGCCUCUGAGAAGAGGUCUGGAGAAGGGAUCUCACAAAAUGUGACUCAUUCAGCGGAGAUAAUGGUGACCUUGGCAACAAGAAUACUGAGGUCUCGGGACUUCCUGGUGGUCCAGUGGUCGAGAAUUCGCCUUGCAAUACAGGGAGGAGCUGUCAUGUGCAUUGAGGAUGUUCAGCAUCGUCCCAGAUCUCUACCCACUAUAAGUCAGUAGCAACCCCUCACCCUACUUGUGACAACCAGAAACAUCUGCAGAUAUGACCAAAAGUUCCCUGGGGGGCAAGUUUGCCCCCAGUUGAGAACCACUGGAUGAGGGCUAUCUGAUGGUGAAGGAUCUCAAAAAAAUUCUUGAAGAAGAGUGGUGUUGGAUGUAACAGGCUGGAGUUAGCCAAAGCUUUUUGUGCCCACUGAGCCACCGUAGGGUGCAGAACACAUCUGCAUCCCCUCUCAGAAAGAUUAUACACCAAAAGGAAGAGAAGACUCGGACCCUAAAACCCAGAGGAUUAAGUAGAAAGCUGUUUAAAGAAUAUUUUGAUUCCUGAUCCAUCUUGAAGCAGGAUUGUGAAGAACUGAGGCAGAAAGAUCUUCAUGAUCAUGGUGGACUUAACAUAAUACCUGAUAUAAUGGUAAUUUUUAAAAAUGUGAACAAUGACAAAGAAGACAAUGCAAGAAGAAAAGGACAGCUAGAAACUCCAGCCCAAACAAAAAGGGAAGGGAAAGUAACUGUAAUAUUAAUACACAGCAAGGGUCUGCAGUGAAUAGUAUUUAUGCAGUUAUAAUAAUUCAUAUUAAAUUAAUCAUAAGUAUUAAUAAAUAUAUUAAUGAUAAUCA
ensembl:lncRNA